UACGUAGGUUGCAAGCGUUGUCCGGAUUUAUUGGGUUUAAAGGGUGCGUAGGCGGCUUUGUAAGUCAGUGGUGAAAUAUGGCAGCUCAACUGUCAGGGUGCCAUUGAUACUGCAGAGCUUGAGUACAGAUGAGGUAGGCGGAAUUGACGGUGUAGCGGUGAAAUGCUUAGAUAUCGUCAAGAACACCGAUAGCGAAGGCAGCUUACUGGGCUGUAACUGACGCUGAGGCACGAAAGUGUGGGGAUCAAACAGG
rnacentral:rRNA from 1 species